rnacentral:rRNA from 1 species
GACGAACGCUGGCGGCGUGCUUAACACAUGCAAGUCGAACGGAAAGGCCCUGCUUUUGUGGGGUGCUCGAGUGGCGAACGGGUGAGUAACACGUGAGUAACCUGCCCUUGACUUUGGGAUAACUUCAGGAAACUGGGGCUAAUACCGGAUAGGAGCUCCUGCUGCAUGGUGGGGGUUGGAAAGUUUCGGCGGUUGGGGAUGGACUCGCGGCUUAUCAGCUUGUUGGUGGGGUAGUGGCUUACCAAGGCUUUGACGGGUAGCCGGCCUGAGAGGGUGACCGGCCAAAUUGGGACGGGGAGAGGGCCCAGACGCCUACGGGAGGCAGCAGUGGGGAAGAUUGCACAAUGGGCGGAAGGCUGAUGCAGCAACGCCGCGUGCGGGAUGACGGCCUUCGGGGUGUAAACCGCUUUCGCCUGUGACGAAGCGUGAGUGACGGUAAUGGGUAAAGAAGCACCGGCUAACUACGUG